rnacentral:tRNA from 1 species
AAUAGAAUGGCUGAUAUAAGGCGGUAAAUUGUAAAUUUAUUAAUGGGUUGUACUCUUUUAUUA